rnacentral:lncRNA from 1 species
AGGAGACGACGGAGUGCUCCAGCUCGUGCCGUGCUCCGAGGCUGCUCUGACAGAGCUGCAGGAAGAGCUGACAAAACCACGUGCAGUCCUAAGUGCGCAGUACAGCCCCAACUGACAUCACCUACAACCGUUCCCCUGAAAGAUUAAGACUGAUACAAGAUGACAUGUUGGAAGAUGCUUUCAAAAAAUUUUCACAAGAUCUUCUGUAAAUGGAGAUGAACACCAAGCUAGACCUUCUGUGGGUGGCAAAACCAAACCAAACAUUGCAAGGAGCGGAGUGGCUGAAGAAGAAAGAAUUGACAUACACGAAGUGCCUUGGACAAGCUUGCAGUUCAGAUAAACCAAAUCUCACUCAAACACUCUGCUCUUGGUUACACCGACUCUGCUGUACUGUGUUGCUUUAUUUGCUGCUCCCGACUGUCACACUCCCACGCUCUCCUGCAAGGCAUCAGGACCAGUUAAUUCACCUGGCAAAUCGCUUUUCCGAUGGGGCUGUGCUGGGGAUGCUGAAGGUACCGGCUGUGGCCAGACGAUGUCGUGCUAAUCCCGCGGAUGCUCGGCAGCCGGGAGUUUAUCUCCCCAGCCGCAAACACUGCAGUGGAGGUGCCUUCUGUCCUGCUGCAUUAAUGUCUCUCCUUUGUACCAAUCACGCAGCACAGAAGGUGCCAUUAAGGCUUUAAAAUUUAAUGAGCUCUAAUAAAACCUCUCCCUGUGAUAAACA